rnacentral:rRNA from 1 species
AAUUUUGGACAAUGGGCGCAAGCCUGAUCUAGCCAUGCCGCGUGAGUGAAGAAGGCCUUCGGGUUGUAAAGCUCUUUCGGACGGAAAGAAAUCGCGCAGGCUAAUACCCUGCGCGUGUGACUGUACCUUCAUAAUAAGCUCCGGCUAACUACGUGCCCGCAGCCGCGGUAAUACGUUGGGUGCGAAGGUUAAUCGGAAUUACUGGGCGUAAAGCGUGCGCAGGAGGUUAAUUAAGACCGGCGUGAAAUCCCCGGGCUUAACCUGGGAACUGCGCUUGUGACUGGUCAGCUAGAGUACGGCAGAGGGGGGUGGAAUUCCACGUGUAGCAGUGAAAUGCGUAGAGAUGUGGAGGAACACCGAUGGCGAAGGCAGCCCCCUGGGCCGAUACUGACGCUCAUGCACGAAAGCGUGGGUAGCAAACAGG